rnacentral:rRNA from 1 species
GACUUGUGGAUAGGGGUGAAAGGCCAAUCAAACCCGGUGAUAGCUGGUUCUCCCCGAAAUAUAUUGAGGUAUAGCCUCGGGAAUUGAUUAGCGGAGGUAAAGCACUGACAGAGCUAGGGGUCCUACCAGAUUACCAAACUCUAUCAAACUCAGAAUGCCGCUUAAUUGUAUCCCGGGAGUCAGACGGCGGGUGCGAAGGUUCGUCGUCAAAAGGGAAACAGCCCAGACCAACAGCUAAGGUCUCCAAAUCCAUGCUCAGUGGUGAAGGUAGUGGAACCGUUUAGACAGCCAGGACGUUGGCUUAGAAGCAGCCAUCGUUUAAAGAAAGCGUAAUAGCUCACUGGUCUAAUGGCUCUGCGCCGAAAAUGUAACGGGGCUAAGCAUGGUACCGAAGCUUUGGCAAUCCCCUUUGGGGAUUGGGUAGGGGAGCGUUCGCUGCGGGCUGAAGGUGUAUCGGAAGGUAUGCUGGACUGCAGUGAAGUGAUUAUGCUGACAUGAGUAACGAUAAAAUAUGUGAAAAACAUAUUCGCCGAAAACCCGAGGUUUCCUGGGUAAAGGUAAUCUUCCCAGGGUUAGUCGGAUCCUAAGGUGAGGGUGAAAGCCGUAACCGAUGGAAAACAGGUUAAUAUUCCUGUACUUGUUGUGUAGCGCGAUGGAGGGACGCAGGAAGAUAGGCGGGCCGGGUGUUGGAUAUCCCGGUGCAAGCGUGUAGGAAUAUCCGGUAGGCAAAUCCGCCGGACGAAUCUGAGACGCGAGUCCGUGGGCGCAAGCCCUGAAGCCGUUGAGUCUAUGCUGCCUAGAAAAGCUCCUAAGUUUAUCCACAGCAAUCCGUACCGCAAACCAACUCAGGUGGGUGGGAUGAACAAUCCAAGGCGCUCGAGAGAACUCUGGCCAAGGAACUCGGCAAAAUAACCCCGUAACUUCGGAAGAAGGGGUGCUCUCUAGGGUGACAUGUUUAACAUAUGAAGCCCCGGGGAGCCGCAGUGAAUUGGUGGUGGCGACUGUUUACUAAAAACAUAGGUCUGUGCGAAGUCCUAAAGACGACGUAUACGGACUGACGCCUGCCCGGUGCUGGAAGGUUAAAAGGAGGGGUCAGCGCAAGCAAAGCUCCGAAUUGAAGCCCCAGUAAACGGCGGCCGUAACUAUAACGGUCCUAAGGUAGCGAAAUUCCUUGUCGGGUAAGUUCCG